CCAAACUGUUGCCUCGGCGGGAUCUCUGCCCCGGGUGCGUCGCAGCCCCGGACCAAGGCGCCCGCCGGAGGACCAACCAAAACUCUUUUUGUAUACCCCCUCGCGGGUUUUUUAUAAUCUGAGCCUUCUCGGCGCCUCUCGUAGGCGUUUCGAAAAUGAAUCAAAACUUUCAACAACGGAUCUCUUGGUUCUGGCAUCGAUGAAGAACGCAGCGAAAUGCGAUAAGUAAUGUGAAUUGCAGAAUUCAGUGAAUCAUCGAAUCUUUGAACGCACAUUGCGCCCGCCAGUAUUCUGGCGGGCAUGCCUGUCCGAGCGUCAUUUCAACCCUCGAACCCCUCCGGGGGGUCGGCGUUGGGGAUCGGCCCUGCCUCUUGGCGGUGGCCGUCUCCGAAAUACAGUGGCGGUCUCGCCGCAGCCUCUCCUGCGCAGUAGUUUGCACACUCGCAUCGGGAGCGCGGCGCGUCCACAGCCGUUAAACACCCAACUUCUGAAAUGUUGACCUCGGAUCAGGUAGGAAUACCCGCUGAACUUAAGCAUAUCAAUAAGCGGGAGGAA
rnacentral:rRNA from 1 species